UGCUGACAGUGCAGAGCCUGCCUUGGAUUCUCUCUUUCUCUUUGCCUCUUUCUAUCUGCGUCUCUCUCUCUCUCUCUCUCUCUCUCUCAAAAAAUAAAACUAAAAGCAACCAAGAAAAAACAGAGUCCUUACGAAUGCUAAUAACCAUCAGUUUCUACUUUGCACACUUUGGAAAAAAAUGUGUGCUUAAUCCCGUAGGAAUUGAGAAGUUGAUCCUGUCUAGGCAGUUGUGGUGGAGCCUCACCACUGUAGAAACCAUAGGAUUUUCCCAGGUAUCCAGUCAAGUAAUGUUAGUCUCUGCUGACCAUAGUGUUGACCUUGAAUUAGUGCAAGUGCGCCAGUGGAGGUGAGGUGUUGCCUAAUGAUGGAAGGGAACAUGUUCAUGUUCAAGUGAGGAAGAUGUGCCCAACAUUGGCGUUAAUGUGUUUUUCUUUUGAAAACUUUAUGAGUAUCAGAUUAAAAUCUUUGCUAGUGUGCACGUAUGACGUGAUGUGGUAUUAAAUGAUUAAAGACCUUUGUUUUACGGUUUUAUUUUUCAGUAAUUUCUACCCCCAGCAUGGAGCUCGAGUUCACAACUUUUAAGAUCAAGAGUCCCGUGCUCAACCGACUGAGCCAGGCAGGUGUCCCUGAAGACACUUCUAUAUUGAGAUAUGUACAUGAUUUAUGAUCUCAAGUGUCUUAUGUUUAUUUCGAUUUGGGCAUGUAUUCAGUUAAGACUUUAAAUGGUCCCUAAUGAUAUUCAUGGUAAUAGGAUUUUUUUGUAUUCCUGUUUAAAAAUAUGUACUUAACAUACUAGUGGUAGACGGAUUUGCAGAUACCCAGCAAAUUUAACAUAUUGUCCUGCAGUACUUUAUUGACUAUGGAAUCAUUAUAAGUAAUGUGAAGAGAGGAAGGUGUGUCUUCCUAAGGAUUGACCUUGGAGUUCUCCAAGUAUCCGUGUAGUGUCGAUGGGUCCUGAAAUGAUACAGGGGCCAAGGGAUUUGCAGGUGUAGACUUAGAAUGAGACAUACACCAGAAAUAUUUUCUCCACUGGUAUUUUUUGUGGUUUUUUUUUUUUUUUGAGACUGGUGUCAAUGAAUCACAGUGACCCCGGCAAUGAUAGGUAACAGAGACACUGCUGAUGUCACAGUAGAGAUGAUGUAGGCCUAAGCCACAGCACUGACCAUCUGCUCUUCAGAAAGCUAGGUAUUCCGGCAGGAAAUGACAGAUUCCUUACUACUCGACACCAUGAGUUUUCAGCGUUUAGACAAAAUUCUUGUUUAACUCUGAAUGAUGUGGGAUUGCACAUAUCAGGUGUUUGUUGUUAUGUCUCAACCACGGUAGUGAUCAUGGAAACUUUGCAGGUGCUCUGUAGAAGUUGUAUUCCUUGAAAGUGAUCUUGACCUUGGAGUACUACAGCUAUUCAAGCAGAGGUUUCCUGUCGAGAUCAUGAUGAACGUCCCGCUAGUGAUUCUCUGGGGACAUUUCUGUUCCCCAGACAAGUGAUGAUGUUCACCUCCACUGUUUCAAAUGAUCUGAUCUUCUCAUAUCGAUAUAUGUGUGAUUGAUGGCCUAAACUUCCUUACGUGUGUGUGUGUGUGUGUUUAUGCGUGUAUGUGUGUGUGUGUGCGCGUGUGUGUUUUCGAUAAUCAGGUAAGAAAUGACAGCAUUUUGCCAAUUACUGCUCUCGUGCAAUUUUAGUGUUUCCUAUUUCAGAGAAAGAUUAUGUUUACUUCUGUAAGUGAUAGGUGAAUUCUGACGUGAAUAGCCAUAAUCAUGGAGUUGUGUGAUGGGGUAGUACCCUUGGGUUUGUGCGGGUGAGCAGGAGAGUGGUGAAGGUGUGGCUCUCUUUGGCAUAGACCUUGAAGGACUGCAACAAUGCGGGAAGAGCGGAAGGGUCCUGCUGUGAGGGCAAUGAACAAGAUGAUGUGCCGUGGCCUAGUAGAAGAGGAGUGUCCAUAGACGCAUUGUUCGCAAAGUGGUUUUUAAAUUACCAUCGAGAGGUCAUGGUAAAUUUCAAGAUGGUCAUUGAUUAGACUUUGCAUCUGUUCAAGUAAGUGGUGAUAUGGGCCUUAAGCACCCUACAAAUGGAUUUUCAGAUAUUUAGGCAAGGGUAGAUGGUGUUCCUAACUGUUCUGUUACCACGUGUCUAUGCAGGUGUUCGGUUCAGAAAUGAUACUGUUCCAACCAGUGCUAGUAAGUAUGAGCCCUUAUUUCUGUUUUUAAAUUGAGAUCUAAUGUGUAUUUAACUUCAGUGGUGAUAACGGAAUAUGCAUUUCCAGGGGACUUUUAGCCAGCAAUAGUGACCAUGAGAUUUCUAGAAGUACUGCUAGAAGAGAUGUUAGUGUGUCUGACAAUGGUGUUGACAUUCAAGUUGGGCCAAAAUCCAUAUCGUGUUAUGUUUUCCCUAAUGAUGGAAGUGACCCAGAUUAUUGGGAAAAAAGGCUAUUUAUUUAUUUAAUUUUGUUUAUUUUUAUUUUUUGGCAGGCAAACAAGUUGUAUCCUGCCACAGGCUUGUUGAGUGUUUGUGUCAAGAUUCUAGCAGUCCUGACAUCACAGUGACCCAGACCGUCGUCAUCAAUGGGAACUUGCUGGUAACCAGGUAUGUGAUAAAGUGGGUUAUCAUAAUAGACAUAUCUGAUCCUCAACUCUCCAGGUGAGUGAGGUUAGUGUUUCUAGCACAGUGUACUGUGCUUUUUUGAACGUUUCCUAUUGACUUCUUUGCUAGUUCUUUACCGAUUCGAGAUGAUGUAAGUGUAAGUCAUUAGGUACAUUCGCUUUGUAUUGGAGACACAGUUUGUUUGACCCUGUGAGCAUUGAGGGAUAACACAUAUGGAAGUAUUUACGACCGUGUCUUCCCCACAGUCCUCCCCAUGGGCUUUCUGCUGGUGGCCAGUGAAGUGACACUGAGUUUGUCUGACAUCAGUGUUGAUCCUUGAUUACUGAAAGUACCAGGUGGAGUUUGUGUGCCUAUCAUCACGGAGUACCCAGGCUAUUUCCAGAUACUGGCUAACACAAGUCGUUUCCUCUAACGUAGAUUUCAUAAUGUCUUGACAGAUACCUGAAAAGACAUCACUGUACGCCUGACAUGGAAGGAAAUGGCAGACAUGGCUGAUAUGUCCGCAGGUAGGUGAGGAUGUGGGUCUCAACCCCGGCACAGGCCGUCUGAUCUCCAGAUAGCUAGGUAAGUGACGAUGGUGUCUCUUAGCGUUGGGACCCUGAUUUCUUUGCAGGUAUUCAGGUACGAUUUGAUAGUCCUUACUGAUCCUAGAAACCAUGAGUGUUUACUGGUUAUGUUUUAGAAAAGACUCUUGCUUAGCCUUGUGAGUGUUGGGAGAUUGCCAUAUCCAUGGAAUUAACAUAUACCCUCAACCACAGCCAUAACCGUGAAAAUGUUGCAGGUGUCCUGUGAAGACAUAUUAUCCUAACUGGUGAUGAUUUUGACCUUGGAGGACUGCAAGCAUUCAGGUAGAGCUGAUAUGUCUCAUGAGGAGAAAGCGACCAAGGUUAUUGCAGGUGUCCUGGUAGAACAAGUUGUGUCCCUUUACACAUGUGUUGUAUUGUGUUUUUUAGGUGCCCGUCAACGAGUUCAGUGCACCUGACAAGGGUCAUCAAGGCGGGGACAUUUCUGGCCUUCAGGUAUAUGAUGAGGUGUACCUUCACUGUAUCAGACCCUCUGAUCUUCAGGAAUCUAUUUGUGCUAAGUUUUGUUAAUUGCUUGAACUUGUUUACCAUGUGGGUUAUUUGAAGCACUCUGGGAGAAAUGAUAGUAUUUUUACCAUGUCUAGCAAACAUAUUAUCCCACCGUUUUAUGUUUUAGAGGAAAUUACAUUGAACCAUGUGAAUAUUUAGUGAUUCAUGGCUACUCACGUAACAAUCAUGGAGUUGUGGGUCACAGGCGUUACCAUGGUAUUCUGGUAGGUGAGUGAUGAAGACAUAAUGGCGUCUGACAGUGGCCUAGACCUUGGCGUACUGCAAGACCCCAGGUAGGUUUGAUGGGUCCUACAGUGAUGGAAGCAUACACAGAUACUGCCCAUGUUGUGGUAGAGGGAGUCAUACAUGGACCCAUUUAUCAUACGUGUUUUUCACUUGAUCUUAGCCAAGACGCUGAGGAGUGAUGUCACAAUGAGUUUUUCCCGGUCCUGUCCAGAAAUCACAGUGAGCCUCAUACUGACCAGACCUAGGACUGUGCCUUUCCAGGUGAGUGAUCACGCGGGCCUUCACCCUGGAAACAACCUAGCCAUCUGAUAAGUGGAUAAGUGUGGUUGGAUUUUCCAAGUUGUUGUUAGUAAGCUUUUGUCUUUGUUUUUGUUUUGACAUGUAUUGGGGUAAGAAAUGAUACGGUCCCCACAAAUGGUAGGAUGCAUUCUAGUAAGUAUUUUAAAGUUUAUUUGUUUUUUUUAAAGUUUAGAUAGAAUGUGUGCUUAGCCCUAGUGCUGACAGAGGGAUACACAGGUGUGGAAGUCCAUUUUCCUACCAGCACAGUCAUGAGACUGAAAUUGUAGAGGUACUCAAGGGAUGAUGGUUUCUCUAACAAUGGAGUUGACCUUGAAGUUCUAGUUCGGCCAAGGUCCAAAGUGUUGAUGAUUCCUCUAAUGAUGGAAAUAUCUUACAUGUCAGUUGUGUUUUUUCAGGUCAUGGCAGUUAGUCAUGUUACAGUGACCCUGGUUAUGCUCUUUCAUGGGACCCUGCUAGUCACCUGGUAGACAGUGUAGAGAUCACCUGUUCUUGAGAUGUGUAGGUAAGUGAGGAGGGUGUCCCAAACACUAACCACAGGGUUAACAUGUUCUCUCUGCAGAUAUCUUGUUAAAGUCUUUGUGUUGCACACAUAUGAGAUGAUGUCACAUUAACUCAUUAGACCUCCCUAUUUUCAGAUGUGUAUGUAAUUAAUGAUGUUUUGAAUGCUCUUACAUUACACAUGCUUUUGGCUUAUAUGCAGUAGUUUAACUUGUAAACACCGUAUUCUUGCAGGAGUCCUGUUAAAACAUGAUGGUCUCUGUGAUAAAAGUGUCGACCCAAAUUAAAGGAAUCAACAAGGUUCUUGUCAAGAAAACCCAGUGAACCUCACGGUAUUCACUGAUGGAAGCUUGCUCUUAACCUAGUAUCCCGUUAAGGCCUUCGCUACUAUGCAGGUAUGAGAUGAUGUGACAUUGACUUAGACACUACGGACCAGGAGAUUUCUCCAGAAGAAACGAUGGUGUUUCUAACAGUGUCAACUUUGAAUUCUGCCAAGAUCGAGGUAGUGUGGAAGCUUCCCCAUUAACGGAGGUGACCAAGAUUAAUAGCAGGAGUCGUGGCAGCACACGUUGUUUUCUUUCUCUCUUUCUUUUUUUGGAAAAAGGUUGUGUUCUUAAACACAAUCAUUGCACGUGUUUUCUCAGGUCCAAGGCACGAACUCACAGCAAGUGUAGAAACGGUCAUUAUUGGGACAAUGUUUGUAAGCAAGUGAGCGAGACUAUAGGUCUUUCUAUGAUGUAGACUAUCUCAUCUCCAGUGUCUAGGUUAGGAUGUGUCCCCAGCACAUGCGUUCUGCUUUUGUAUGUAUCCCGGUAAGGUCUUUGCUAAGAGAGGUGUGAUGUGAUCAGACAGACACUCACUACCGACUUUUUGUUCUUUUCGGACAUCUAGGUAAUUAAGGUUCCCAAGACCCUUCCACGAACAUCGUUUGGGGGCCCAUAGACAGUUAAGCAUUUGAUGUGAACUGAGCACUUCUGGGUCCUCUUAAGACCUUGACCAUGCCCCUGUCAGCUGUAUUUAACGUGGCAUAAAGGAGGUAAGCGAUUUGGGCCUAAACCACAAGCACAGACCAUCUGAUCUUCCCACAUCUAGGUGAGUGAUGUUGAUGCCCUUCAUACUUCCUGUUACCCUGACCUUGUUGCAGGUAUUCGGGUAAGAAAUGACAGAGUCUGGGGCACCUGGGUGGCUCAGUCAG